GCGGGUGUGGCGGAAUGGCAGACGCACCAGAUUUAGGUUCUGGCGGGAGACCGUGGGGGUUCAAGUCCCUUCACCCGCA
rfam:Brevibacillus borstelensis AK1 seq_num_006, whole genome shotgun sequence.